ensembl:rRNA 5S_rRNA 5S ribosomal RNA
GCUUACGGCCACACCACCCUGAGAACGCCCGAUCUCGUCCUUAUCGCGGAAGCUAAGCCGGGUCGGGCCUGGUUAGUACUUGGAUGGGAGACGGCCUGGGAAUACCAGGUGCUGUAAGCU